GGAGGGAUGGCCGAGCGGUUUAAGGCAGUGGUCUUGAAAACCACCGUGUCGCUUUGCGGCACCGUGGGUUCGAAUCCCACUCCCUCCGC
rnacentral:tRNA from 1 species